rnacentral:rRNA from 1 species
GAUGAACGCUGGCGGCGUGCCUAAUACAUGCAAGUCGAGCGAAUGGAUUAAGAGCUUGCUCUUAUGAAGUUAGCGGCGGACGGGUGAGUAACACGUGGGUAACCUGCCCAUAAGACUGGGAUAACUCCGGGAAACCGGGGCUAAUACCGGAUAACAUUUUGAACCGCAUGGUUCGAAAUUGAAAGGCGGCUUCGGCUGUCACUUAUGGAUGGACCCGCGUCGCAUUAGCUAGUUGGUGAGGUAACGGCUCACCAAGGCAACGAUGCGUAGCCGACCUGAGAGGGUGAUCGGCCACACCGGGACUGAGACACGGCCCAGACUCCUACGGGAGGCAGCAGUAGGGAAGCUUCCGCAAUGGACGAAAGUCUGACGGAGCAACGCCGCGUGAGUUAUGAAGGCUUUCGGGUCGUAAAACUCUGUUGUUAGGGAAGAACAAGUGCUAGUUGAAUAAGCUGACACCUUGACGGUACCUAACCAGAAAGCCACGGCUAACUACGUGCCAGCCGCCGCGGUAA